GACGAACGCUGGCGGCGUGCCUAAUACAUGCAAGUCGAACGCAGUUUCGAACGGGGGAGUAACGCGUAGGUAACUGCCCCAUAGCGGGGGAUAAACAUUGGAAACGAUAGCCAAUACCGCAUACUGUGAGCUGGACCUGCUGUGUAUUAGGUAGUUGGGGGGGUAAACGCUCACCAAGGCGACGAUACAUAGCCGACCUGAGAGGGUGAACGGCCAAACUGGGACUGAGACACGGCCCAGACUCCUACGGGAGGUAGCAGGAGGGAAUCAUCGGCAAUGGACGGAAGUCUGACCGAGCACCGCCGCGUGAGUGAAGAAGGUUUUCGGGUCGUAAAGCUCUGUUGUUAGAGAAGCGGUAACUAAACAGAAAGGGACGGCUAACUACGUGCCAGCAGCCGCGGUAAUUC
rnacentral:rRNA from 1 species